rnacentral:snRNA from 1 species
GUUCAUUCCAAAUUGACAUAUACUAAAAUUUAAACAAUACAUAGAAGAUUAGCAUGGCCCCUGCGCAAGGAUGAGACGCAAAUUCCUGAAGCGUUCCAAAUUUAU